UGAUAUGCAAAUGAAAAUCACUUUAUCAACAUUAUAAUGAUUUUUCUGUCCAAAAGAAAUUGUUUGGAAUUUCUGAAAUCAGAUUUGUCAAUGAUCCAACAUUCCAUUGAAAAGCAUAACUAUUUAGUUCACAGUUGUUUUGUAUAUACACACAGUUUGUCAAACAAAUCAUACAUUAAUAUUGAAUGAAGAACCUUUGUUUGAGUUUUUCAGAAAAAAUUGCAGACAAUUGUCAUGCACCUUCUCUUCUUUCUCUUCUCCAAUCCCAUGGCUUUUCAGGAUUUUUUGAAGCCCAUAACCCAACACGCUUUGCUCUGGCUUGUUUUUCCCACUAUCAUAAGAACUCAAGCAAGUUAGGAUAUUUAUAAUUGAAAAAUAAUGAAUGAAACAUAGCAUUUGUCAAUUAUUACUGUUUCUAGUUCCUGCCGUUUGUCAUAGGCUGUGUAGUGCCAUGCUAAACCCUUCUUUAACAUUAUUUCCUAGUCACAAAUGAAAAUCAAAAUGAGAAACUCAGAAAGUAAUAACAACAUGUAUAGAUUCAGAGUAAAAUAAUGAUAAGAUUACCUGUACAAAAAUGCCAUUACAAUAGAUAUCACCUACACAACGACCAUAGCGAUCAUCUCCAUAAACAAGGACCCUCAAAGGCUUCCCUUGAACAAGCUUGACCAGUUCAGCUUUAGCUUCCUUUCCAUAAGGCAUUGCACUUUCUGGUGCAUCAAUUCCCCUGUUUUGUUUCUAGAGUUCAUUACUGGCUUCCAAAACAACUUAACAUUCUAUCACUACUGUUUGGUCGGUCAUUACCUUAAUCGAAUCCUAUAUUUCUUAGCUAGGAUUUCCUCGUUUUCCACACGAAUCACCCUAAAUAACCAAACAAUUAGAAGAAAAAUAGCAUGUGUUGGAAGCAUAGGCAUAAGAAGUUGGGAAACUACAAACACACCGAUAUCCUGCAUCAAUUAUCUGUUUGUGAAAUGCAUCAGCAUCUUGAAAGUUCCUUCGGGCACGUGCUUCUGAUCUUCUCACUGCUGCUGCAUGAACGUUGCCAGGGACAAAUGCUGAUUCUCUGGGGUCUGCUGUGCUGACAUACACUGUUACGGUAUCCCCAUCUGCUACUGCUUUUGCAUCAACCUGGUACCAUUGAAAACAAUAAUAAACCAUGUCAUUUUGUCAAAAACCACAUUUUAUGGACUGCAUGGAAAUGUUAUUUUCUUACAGGCAAGGUGUUCAUUUCAAAUUGAACUCCAUCAGGCAAGGAUGACGGGGCUUGAGCAGUUCCUUGAACGAGGGUGUGUGGUGGAGGAAGACCAUAGAAAGCCAACAAUCCCUAUAAAUUAAGCAACAUAAAUUUCAUUCACAAUGAGCUUUGUCUUUUGCAGGUGGCUUAGGUAAAGCAACAUUCCAGUGCAGUCAUACUUAAGUAAAGGUUAGGAAGUUCAUGCAAACCUCAACAUCUGCUUUUUGGUGUCUUUUCAAUGUCUGAAUGACAAGUUUAGCUGCUUCUUCAGGUGUCUUAGGAGGGGGUUUUGCCUCUUUCCAAGCAUCUACUAACUUUCUAUACCAAUUAGCCUGAGCCUUCUUAGAAGACACAACAUGCUUGCUGAGUCCUUCCGGGACCUA
rnacentral:sRNA from 1 species